rnacentral:rRNA from 1 species
UACAGAGGGUGCAAGCGUUAAUCGGAAUUACUGGGCGUAAAGGGUGCGUAGGUGGUUGUAUAAGUUGGGUGUGAAAGUCCUGGGCUUAACCUGGGGAUUGCGCUCAAUACUGUAGAGCUAGAGUACUGUAGAGGGAGGUGGAAUUUCCAGUGUAGCGGUGAAAUGCGUAGAUAUUGGAAGGAACAUCAGUGGCGAAGGCGACUUUCUGGACAGAUACUGACACUGAGGCACGAAAGCGUGGGUAGCAAACAGG